AGGCCCCUUCCUUUUUCCCCCAAACCUGCCCGGAAACCCCAUCCCAGCCUGCAAAAGUCCGCAUAACGCCGACUGUUCCCAAACUUCUCCUUGGAACCCCAGACCCCCAAAGUUGUUCUCCAGUUGCCCCGGGGCGCCUCCUCCGCCCGGACAGUCCACGCCUAGCGCCCGUGGUCCGCCAGCGGGGCCCGCGGGCUGGUGGCAGGAUCCUGCGGGACCCAGGGACGCCUGUGUCUGCGACCGAGAGCGCACGGCGUGGCCGGAGGCUGUUCUCCCAGAGACUCGGGGGCCUGCGGACCCUCCUAGACCAGGCGAAGCCCCAUCUGAGGCGCUGGCUCAGGCCCGAAGGAGUUGGAGUUGGAGGGAUGAAAAUCUGGGUCCGCCCUCCAGGGAAAGCGGGAAAUGUGCCGGGGAGGCGGGGGUAGCGGAGGAGAAGGUAUUUUCGAAAUAAUGACCAGGGCUUCCCCCUCUGUCGUAACCCGCGUCUCCUUGCCCAUCCCGUAUGAAGAUGAGGCCAAUUCUGGGCGUUUUAGUUCCCAAUUCCUAUCCCGAGGGACCACCCAGCGUGAAAGUCGUGGCAGGGGAAGGCCAGGUGUGCCCACUCCUAGCCCAGGUAAAGGUCCCCCGGGCUGGAGGUAGAGGCCCAGGGAGUGUAGAUGCUGCUGGGUUUCUGAGAAGAGGCAAUGCCCCUGCCCCACGCUUGAGCCAGUCCUGGAGAGGUUGGGGGUUGGAAAACGAAGGGGACCUUGGUACCGCCUUCCCAGGUAUAGUUAGGGACAUGGGACAUGGCUGUUAGGGGUGUGGGCUGAGGGGCGACGGAGACGGCCAAGUCUUAAGAGCCGUGCCCAGCACGGAGGAGGCGGGACUUCUGCCCUCGGGGCCACCGCAGCCUGGACAGGCACCAAGCCCACAGCUGUCCCAUCACCACCUCAUUUGAUGCUCCCAGCUAUCCUGUGAUCAGGUAAGGGAACACAGGCUGCAUACCAAGGCUCCAGGUCCCAGGGCUGAAAGCCCUUUUCCUGGGUGGGCAGCGCUGCCUGGAAGCACGUGGCCAACCACCUGCUCCUUCACUGGAGGGUCUGGAGUAAGCUAUCCAAUGUGGCAGCCAUUGGCCACAUGUGGCUUUCUGGUACUUGACAUGUGGCUAGUCCAAUUGAGAUGUGCUAUGUGUAAGAUACACACCAGAUAUCAUAGAUUAAUACCAAAAAAGAAUGGAAAAAAAAGGUCACCAGGCACAGUGGCUCACAACUGUAAUCCCAGCACUUUGGGAGGUGGAGGCAAUAGAUCUUUUGAGAACAGUAGCUCAAGACCAGCCUGGGCAACAUAGGGAGACCACUUCUCUACAAAAAAUGAAAACAAACAAACAAACAAAAAAACUGGCCAGGCAUGGUGGCAUAUGCCUGUGGUCUCAGCUACUCAGGAGGCUGAGGUGGAGGGAUCACUUGAGCCUGGGAGUUUGAGGCUGCAGUGAACAGUGAUGGG
rnacentral:lncRNA from 10 species